rnacentral:rRNA from 1 species
UACGUAGGGUGCAAGCGUUAAUCGGAAUUACUGGGCGUAAAGCGUGCGCAGGCGGUUUUGUAAGUCUGUCGUGAAAUCCCCGGGCUUAACCUGGGAAUGGCGAUGGAGACUGCAAGGCUAGAGUUUGGCAGAGGGGGGUAGAAUUCCACGUGUAGCAGUGAAAUGCGUAGAGACGUGGAGGAACACCGAUGGCGAAGGCAGCCCCCUGGGUCAAAACUGACGCUCAUGCACGAAAGCGUGGGGAGCAAACAGG